AGUACAGGAGGUUACUACAGCCACAUAUACAGUACAGGAGGUUACUACAGCCACAUAUACAGUACAGGAGGUUACUACAGCCACAUAUACAGUACAGGAGGUUACCCACAGUACAGGAGGUUACCACAGCCACAUAUACAGUACAGGAGGUUACACAGCCACAUAUACAGUACAGGAGGUUACUACAGCCACAUAUACAGUACAGGAGGUUACCACAGCCGCAUAUACAGGAGGUUACCACAGCCACAUAUACAGGAGGUUACCACAGCCACAUAUACAGUACAGGAGGUUACCACAGCCACAUAUACAGUACAGGAGGUUACUACAGCCACAUAUACAGUACAGGAGGUUACCACAGCCAC